rnacentral:rRNA from 1 species
UACAGAGGGUGCGAGCGUUAAUCGGAAUUACUGGGCGUAAAGCGCACGUAGGUGGCGACGUAAGUCGGGUGUGAAAGCCCCGGGCUCAACCUGGGAAUUGCAUUCGAGACUGCAUUGCUGGAGUACGGAAGAGGAAGGCGGAAUUCCCGGUGUAGCGGUGAAAUGCGUAGAUAUCGGGAGGAACAUCAGUGGCGAAGGCGGCCUUCUGGUCCAGUACUGACACUCAAGUGCGAAAGCGUGGGGAGCGAACAGG